UGUAGAGUCAUUAUUAACGGCCGCAGUACUUUGACUGUGCUAAGGUAGCGUAAUCAGUUGGCUUUUAAAUGAAGUCGAGAAUGAACGGGUUUAUCGGGGAUUAACUGUCUCUGUUAAAGUUAGUCUAACUUACUUAGUGGGUGAAAAUUCCCUCAUUAUUAGAAAAAAGACGAGAAGACCCUAAGAGUUUUUACUAUGACCUAAUUCUUGUAGGGGAAGUUUUUGCUGGGGCGGCAAAGAGACAUACUAAACUCUCUUGUUUAAGAUUUUAAUGGACGUUUGUAUUAAGUAAUAUAAAACUACCUUAGGGAUAACAGCAUAAUUUAAUACUAAGUUUGUGACCUCGAUGUUGGACUAGGGACUUUAUGGCUAGCCGUCGCAAGAGCUGGUUCUGUUCGAACCGCGACCCCU
rnacentral:rRNA from 1 species